UACGUAGGGGGCAAGCGUUGUCCGGAUUUAUUGGGCGUAAAGAGCUCGUAGGCGGCUUGGUAAGUCGGGUGUGGAACCUCCAGGCUCAACCUGGAGACGCCACUCGAUACUGCUAUGGCUAGAGUCCGGUAGGGGAGCGUGGAAUCCCUGGUGUAGCGGUGAAAUGCGCAGAUAUCAGGAGGAACACCAGCGGCGAAGGCGGCGCUCUGGGCCGGAACUGACGCUGAGGAGCGAAAGCGUGGGGAGCGAACAGG
rnacentral:rRNA from 1 species